rnacentral:rRNA from 1 species
CAGCCGCAACAGCCCGCUGGCUCGCACGGGGUGCUCUUCAUCGAGUGUCCCGCGUGGCCGGCAGAGUUUACUUUGAAAAAAUUAGAGUGCUCAAAGCAGGCUACACUGACAGCCUGAAUGCCUAUGCAUGGAAUAAUGGAAUAGGACCUCGGUUCUAUUUUGUCGGUUUUCUGAACCCGAGGUAAUGACUAAUAGGAACAGGCGGGGGCAUUCGUAUUGCGACGCUAGAGGUGAAAUUCUUGGACCGUCGCAAGACGAACUACUGCGAAAGCAUUUGCCAAGGAUGUUUUCAUUAAUCAAGAACGAAAGUUAGAGGUUCGAAGGCGAUCAGAUACCGCCCUAGUUCUAACCAUAAACGAUGCUGACCAGCGAUCCGCCGGCGUUAUUCCCAUGACCCGGCGGGCAGCUUCCGGGAAACCAAAGUCUUUGGGUUCCGGGGGAAGUAUGGUUGCAAAGCUGAAACUUAAAGGAAUUGACGGAAGGGCACCACCAGGAGUGGAGCCUGCGGCUUAAUUUGACUCAACACGGGGAACCUCACCAGGCCCAGACACCGGAAGGAUUGACAGAUUGAGAGCUCUUUCUCGAUUCGGUGGGUGGUGGUGCAUGGCCGUUCUUANUUGGUGGAGCGAUUUGUCUGGUUAAUUCC